rnacentral:snRNA from 1 species
GUGGCCUGGGUCAAUGGCCCACAUUGCACUUGGUGGGUGCGUUGGCCCAUCAUCUCCCCAAGUGGGAGAGUGAACGUCAUAAUUUGUGGUAGAGGGGGUACGCGUUCGCGCGGCCCCUG